GGUUGCGAUCAUACCAGCACUAAUGCACCGGAUCCCAUCAGAACUCCGCAGUUAAGCGUGCUUAGGCGAGAGUAGGACUAGGAUGGGUGACCCCUCGGAAGUCCUCGUGUUGCAACCC
rnacentral:rRNA from 1 species